UUCCGGUUGAUCCCGCCGGAGGUUACUGCUAUCGAGGUUCGACUAAGCCAUGCGAGUCGAAUGUAGCAAUACAUGGCGAACUGCUCAGUAACACGUGGACAACCUGCCCUUAGGUUGGGUAUAAACCCGGGAAACUGGGUAUAAUACCCGAUAGGUCUCGAUUGCUGGAAUGCAUCGAGAUUUAAAGCUCCGGCGCCUAAGGAUGGGUCUGCGGCCUAUCAGGUAGUAGUGGGUGUAGCGUACCUACUAGCCUACGACGGGUACGGGUUGUGAGAGCAAGAGCCCGGAGAUGGAUUCUGAGACACGAAUCCAGGCCCUACGGGGUGCAGCAGGCGCGAAAACUUUACAAUGCUGGCAACAGCGAUAAGGGAACCUCGAGUGCCAGGUUACAAAUCUGGCUGUCGAGAUGCCUAAAAAGCAUUUCAUAGCAAGGGCCGGGCAAG
rnacentral:rRNA from 1 species